rnacentral:rRNA from 1 species
CCUACGGGAGGCAGCAGUGAGGAAUAUUGGUCAAUGGACGAGAGUCUGAACCAGCCAAGUAGCGUGAAGGAUGACUGCCCUAUGGGUUGUAAACUUCUUUUAUACGGGAAUAAAGUGGAGUAUGCAUACUCCUUUGUAUGUACCGUAUGAAUAAGGAUCGGCUAACUCCGUGCCAGCAGCCGCGGUAAUACGGAGGAUCCGAGCGUUAUCCGGAUUUAUUGGGUUUAAAGGGAGCGUAGAUGGAUGUUUAAGUCAGUUGUGAAAGUUUGCGGCUCAACCGUAAAAUUGCAGUUGAUACUGGAUGUCUUGAGUGCAGUUGAGGCAGGCGGAAUUCGUGGUGUAGCGGUGAAAUGCUUAGAUAUCACGAAGAACUCCGAUUGCGAAGGCAGCCUGCUGGACUGUAACUGACGCUGAUGCUCGAAAG